UGAGGAUCUGUGAGACUUUGAUAAAUCUC
rnacentral:piRNA from 1 species